CCAAGACAGUGGGGUAGAGAAGAGGGGUGGCGGAGAGAUCAAAAGGAGAGAAAAACAGCAAAGAAAGAGAGAAAACGAGAGAAAAGAGGAAGAAAAAGUGCAGGAAAAAUCUUUUAGAAAAACUGAGCCAGGGUUGGUGAUUCAGUCACUUUCCCUGCUUCAUUCCGAUGCCCCCAGAGCUUCUCGUGGGAAGAUUUCUUUUUCUGGAAAAUCUACGUUGAUCGAGGAGAAGAUUUUGUGUUGGAAUUUUUUAGAAAAAACCUCUGCAACAUCUCCAAAUCCGGGCUUGAACCUGGUUUUUGGCUUGGACUUGAGAAUGAAAGCCCAUGCAAUGUUAUUGAGCUGAUUUGGUAAAAGGAGUAGGCUUGGCCUAUUAUUUUUCUUAGGGCUUUCGGUCGGGCCAUGUGGCCUUUGGCCCAAAGAAAUGCUGAAAAUGGUCCAAUGGCCUUCUGCUCAAGUAAUCUGGUAACGAAAUUUCAAAUUAGUCCCUAUAUCUUUCAAUCAUUAUAUUAUGGCCCUAAAAACUUUAGCUUUAUUUCUAUUAGGUCCCUAUUUUUAAUUUCAAUUUGGUCCCUAAACUUUAUUUUUAUUUCAUUUUAACCCUAAAAUUUUUAAUAAUUAUAAUUUGACCUCUAAAACUUUCUUAAUUUUUGUAAUUAAGUCCCUAAUAGUUUUGAUUUCUUAAAUAUAAGUUACCUUUCUUCUUUAAUUGUUAAUUCUACUUCAUUUAAGUGCUUUAAUUUGUAGAUUUCAUGAUUAUUUCUAUUUAUUUAUAAUUAAAUUGGUGCCUGAAUUAUUUUAUUGAUUUUGGAGCAUAAUUAUGGCAAAUUUCACCCCCAUUGAACCACAACUUCGAGAGAGGUAAUCUCUUUUAUUAUUUUAAAUUCCUUUAUGUGCUCCAAUGUGUUUUAUGUGCAAUUGCAUGUUUUGAAUUUUUUUCUUUUAUUCGUUAUUAUUCAUUUUUAUUCAUUUUAAGUUUCAUUUGUUUUAUUUAAUUUUGAUAAUUAUUUGUGAGGCAUUUAACGCCAAAUUAUAAUAGAUAGGAGUUCAAGACAUGUAUUUAGUUAGGCUAUGUAAUAGAUAGGUUUUAAUUUUGCCAAAAUGUAAUUAGUUAGAUAAAUGUAAUAGUUAGGUUAUUAUUAUUCUAAUUCCCCCCCUAGAUUGUAGUUAGAACCCCGAAUGUAAUAAUUAGGCUUUUAUUUGCGUCUAUUUGUUUGU